rnacentral:lncRNA from 1 species
CAGGGCCAGGUCUGUGUGUCAGAUAUCGUGUUAAAUUCUUCAAAUUCACAGUUCUAAACUGGGAUCCAUGAUCUAGUCUCCCACUGGACUAAAAGCUGU